AUGGACCACGCGUACACGGCGGUCCUGUGCGCCGUGCGCACGUGGCUGGCGACGGCUGGCUGGGUUGUGUCGGGC
rnacentral:sRNA from 1 species